AUUGAACGCUGGCGGCAUGCCUUACACAUGCAAGUCGAACGGUAACAGGUCUUCGGAUGCUGACGAGUGGCGAACGGGUGAGUAAUACAUCGGAACGUGCCCGAUCGUGGGGGAUAACGCAGCGAAAGCUGUGCUAAUACCGCAUACGAUCUACGGAUGAAAGCGGGGGAUCGCAAGACCUCGCGCGGACGGAGCGGCCGAUGGCAGAUUAGGUAGUUGGUGGGAUAAAAGCUUACCAAGCCGACGAUCUGUAGCUGGUCUGAGAGGACGACCAGCCACACUGGGACUGAGACACGGACCAGACUCCUACGGGAGGCAGCAGUGAGGAAUAUUGGUCAAUGGGCGGAAGCCUGAACCAGCCAUGCCGCGUGCAGGAUGACGGCCCUACGGGUUGUAAACUGCUUUUCCCGGGGCGAAUAACCCCUCGCGAGGGGAGUGCCGGUACCGGGGAAGUAAGGAGUCGGCUAACUCCGUGCCAGCAGCCGCGGUAACGUGUAGUCGUCG
rnacentral:rRNA from 1 species